AGGGCCUGUGAACUGAAGCAGCAUGGGAGUCAAGAGGGGAAAGAUAAAGAAAGGUGUUAAUGUGGGAGAAGGAAAAGGACUUCACCCAUUACUUAUGUUAAGAGGAUUAAAGGAACAAGGAGGAGCUUGGUAACAUUUUGAGAAUUUUAGCUUGGAUGACUGUGUAGAUGGUGAUGAAUUUGGCUGAGAUGAGAAAUUCAGAAGGGGCUUCCUCUCCACUGACUUCUGCAACAUGGCCCAUGUCACUGA
rnacentral:lncRNA from 10 species